AGUGAACGCUGGCGGUAGGCCUAACACAUGCAAGUCGAACGGCAGCACAGUAAGAGCUUGCUCUUACGGGUGGCGAGUGGCGGACGGGUGAGGAAUACAUCGGAAUCUACUUUUUCGUGGGGGAUAACGUAGGGAAACUUACGCUAAUACCGCAUACGACCUACGGGUGAAAGCAGGGGAUCUUCGGACCUUGCGCGAUUGAAUGAGCCGAUGUCGGAUUAGCUAGUUGGCGGGGUAAAGGCCCACCAAGGCGACGAUCCGUAGCUGGUCUGAGAGGAGGAUCAGCCACACUGGAACUGAGACACGGUCCAGACGCCUACGAGAGGCAGCAGUGGGGAAUAUUAGACAAUGGGCGCAAGCCUGAUCCAGCCAGACCGCGUGGGUGAAGAAGGCCUUCGGGUUGUAAAGCCCUUUUGUUGGGAAAGAAAAGCAGCAGGUUAAUACCCCGCUGUUCUGACGGUACCCAAAGAAGAAGCACCGGCUAACUUCGUG
rnacentral:rRNA from 1 species